rnacentral:rRNA from 1 species
GAUCCUGGCUCAGGAUGAACGCUGACAGAAUGCUUAACACAUGCAAGUCUACUUGAACUUCGGUUUGGGUGGCGGACGGGUGAGUAACGCGUAAAGAACUUGCCUCACAGUUAGGGACAACAUUUGGAAACGAAUGCUAAUACCUGAUAUUAUGAUUUUAGGGCAUCCUAAGAUUAUGAAAGUUAUAUACGCUGUGAGAGAGCUUUGCGUCCCAUUAGCUAGUUGGAGAGGUAACGGCU